rnacentral:misc_RNA from 1 species
UAUCCGUAGUGAGUAAACAAUCCGCAUACCCUUAUUUUAGACACAUGGAAUUUCUUUACUAACUAUUUUAGGGUGAACCUUCGGAUGGAUCAUUAGAAAGAGUGAGUCGAUUUAGCGAUAAAUCGAUUCAACUCCCACUCUUGUUUAAGCGGAGACGCAAUCUAUUCAGGUGUUCGCACCAUCA